UUCUUAGCAAGAGUUAAGAGCUCCAAGUCACUUAGCAGCAACUACUUAGCAGCUUCAUGAGACACGGAGAUUGAGGCUGCCACCCCAGGACACAGGGCACCAACCAGCCUCCGACUGGCACUUCUGGGGAGCCUCAGAGUUUACAGCAACCACUCUUUAUAAACAGAUUCACGAAAAUUUGAAAAUCAAGAAAACAGCAAAGAAGUCGGCACUGGAGAAUUCCUGGAACCUUUCUCCUCCGGUCUUUCUUACACUCGUCAGAUAUCACCAUCAAUAAACGGCUUCCUUUUGUACUUCUCUUAGGCUGUAAAAAUACUGGCUCCCCUCCACCUAGACUGAAAGACAUCUACAUGUUGUAAAACUCUGGGACUUUCUGUGCCAUCGUGUCAUGGCUCAUGACCAUGCUGGCUAACAGCCGUUCACUUUGGAGGUGGCAGUGGGGGCCAGGCAGAACAGUCACGGAGAAGAGGGGAGAGUCCAUGCUGACAUGACCGCCCUUUGCACUAAAGGAAAUCAGUCCUGAAUAUUCAUUGGAAGGACUGAUGCUGAAGCUGAAACUGCAAUACUUUGGCCACCUGAUGUGAAGAACUGACUCAUUUGAAAAGACCCUGAUGCUGGGAAAGAUUGAAUGCAGGAGGAGAAGGGACGACAGAGGAUGAGAUGGUUGGUUGGCAUCACCAUCUUGAUGGACAUGAGUUUGAGCGAGCUCCAGGAGUUGGUGAUGGACAGGGAAGCCUGGCGUGCUGUAGUACGUGGGGUCGCAAAGAGUUGGACAUGACUGAGUGACUGAACUGAACUCUGCAUGGUAAAUCGGUGAGAGAUAACAAUUCUCCUGAGGCAAAAGAUGCUUACUGGGAUAUGAUGAAAGCAGACAAGAAGAGAGUCGGCUUUUUCCUACCCUUGGCUGACAUGACUGCCUGGAGGGUUUAAACGCUUGGAGAAGUGCGCCUCUUUGACUUAGUGGGUUGGAGCCACUAGGUCCUGGUUUGAGCCUACACAGAACACCCUUUCUGAUGAGAAUAACUUCUUACCAAGUUAUAUAUCGGAUUCAGGGUAUUGUCUACUCUGAGAAGAAAAAAAUGUACAAUGAAAUGUAGACAGUGUCUACACUAACUGAGGCAUAAAAGGACUAAAGGAAAAAAAAUACCAUCAGUGUUUUUUUCUCAUCUGCUUAAUGCCAUAAUAUGUCAUACUCCUCUCAACUGAAUAUAAGUUUUUGAGAUCAGAUGUAUUAUGUCUAUCUUUCUAUCCCCAGCACCUAAAACAAAGCCUGACACAUAGAAUAUAUUCAGUAAGGAGGUGUGGAACAGGCUUAGAAUGUAGAAAGCUGCGAAGAAUGUGAUUCAGCAUAAUAAUGAGAAACGGCUGGAUAACAUUUAAAAUCAUAACUUGAGCCCAUCAGAGAACUGGGGUUGCAAAGCAACCAAGUAAACAGAAUUCCAAAGAGAGACAUGCCUCCCCAAGACAGAUGGAACACAGAACUCUUUCACCUUUGGCAAAGAACAGGGGAAAGAGGUGGCUGCCAUACAAGUGGGCAAAAGGAAAUCAGUUAAAAUUUUAAUGAAUUCUUCGAGCCAAGCAUGGACUAGCAUGUCAGUUUAGAAUAGCUAGGGGCCUCAGAAACAAAGAGAGCUUACUGUCUUCAUUCAUAAGUUCUUUUCUAUAAAACCCUCUAUCAGAAGUCUUUCUUCACGAGAAAGAUGGAGACAAGAGAGAUGGA